UACGUAGGCAGCAAGCGUUUGUUCGGAGUUACUGGGCGUAAAGGGUGUGUAGGCGGUUCCUUAAGUUUGCUGUGAAAUCUCCCGGCUUAACCGGGAGGGUGCGGUGAAUACUGAGGGACUAGAGUACGGGAGAGGAAAGUGGAAUUCCUGGUGUAGCGGUGAAAUGCGUAGAUAUCAGGAGGAACACCGGUGGUGUAGACGGCUCUCUGGACCGUAACUGACGCUGAGACACGAAAGCGUGGGUAGCAAACAGG
rnacentral:rRNA from 1 species